rnacentral:tRNA from 1 species
GCUCCGGUAGCUCAGUUGGUAAGAGCGCAUGCAUGGUAAGCAUGAGGUCCAGAGUUCAAUCCUCUGCCGGGGCU